CGCGGAGUGGAGCAGUUGGCAGCUCGUCGGGCUCAUAACCCGAAGGUCGUAGGUUCGAGUCCUGCCUCCGCAA
rnacentral:tRNA from 2 species